CCCGUCUGUUGGCUGGUACCUUGGCGUGGUAGACGGGCUUGUGUGUUGCAGUGAUCCUGAGGGCUAUACCGACCGAGGUUCAACCAUGUCGGGAAGGCUGAAGGUGAGCAACGAGACGAAAUCCAGC
rnacentral:ribozyme from 1 species